AACUUUUAACAAUGGAUCUCUAGGCUCUCAUAUCGAUGAAGAACACAGUGAAAUGUGAUAAGUAAUGUGAAUUGCAGAAUUCAGUGAAUCAUUCAAUCUUUGAACGCACCUUGCACCUUUUGGUAUUCCAAAAGGUAUGCCUGUUUGAGUGUCAU
rnacentral:rRNA from 1 species